CAGCAGCCGCGGUAAUACGUAGGUGGCAAGCGUUGUCCGGAAUUAUUGGGCGUAAAGGGCUCGCAGGCGGUUUCUUAAGUCUGAUGUGAAAGCCCCCGGCUCAACCGGGGAGGGUCAUUGGAAACUGGGAAACUUGAGUGCAGAAGAGGAGAGUGGAAUUCCACGUGUAGCGGUGAAAUGCGUAGAGAUGUGGAGGAACACCAGUGGCGAAGGCGACUCUCUGGUCUGUAACUGACGCUGGGGAGCGAAAGCGUGGGGAGCGAACAGGAUUAGAUACCCGCGUAGUCCCUGUCUCUUAUAC
rnacentral:rRNA from 1 species